ensembl:lncRNA
UCCCAUUGUACUUAACUGAAUUUUAUAACGCUGAUCGAUAUCUUGGUAAAAUAUUCAUUUUUAAACUAGCGGGCAGUGAAAUCUUUGCUUUGUGUGCUAAAGUCAACAGUCGCUCGGUUUGAGCUCAAAUAAAUGCAGGGAUGCCUCGGCUGGGAGCAGUCCGCCGCCUCCCUUCGAGCGCAGGACGCUCCGACGCCCGCCUGCCCGCAGGCCACCGCAGAUUGUUUGGAGAAGUUCAGUACAACGUUGAAAGUAUUUCUGGACAAAAAUCACAAAUGUUAUCUGUGGGAGAGGGAUUUACUUUUCUGCCUUCACAUUGGGAGUGUAAAGCGGCUUUCCCGAACUUUCCCUGUGCUGGUACACAGGGUCUCCAUAAACCAGCCCGCCACCUGGGAACCCAGAUCAUCACUUUUCUUAAAUAUCAAAUUGCCCCGAUUAGCAACGUGUCCCUAAAGUCAGGACUGCUUCAGCAUCCCGGAUUCACUUUCGGAGCUGAGCCGCGGUUGCUGUCCGGGGCCCUAGAAGCAGCGCAUCUUGCAACUCGAGCGGGCUAGGACUCCCAAUCUGUGGGUUGGCUAGCGGAGCCGCCAGUGCGACCCUGGCUGUUUCCAGCUCGCCGACCACUGGCCACAGAGAUGCGCCAAACCCCUGAGAGCCAGCGGGCCCAGGUGAAACGCUUCUCCUCUGUGCUCUCAAAGCUUACUGGGACUCCGCCGGGCCCAAAGAAAAGGCAAGUGCCCUCCCAGUGUCGGGAAGAAGGAGUAAAUAAAAGAGUUAGAGAAGCAGGCUCGCGGCAGGUGAGAGUGGCAACCUUUGGUUAUGCGAUCCAAAUUCUAGAAUGUGAGGAACCCACCCUCGUCGGUCUUGAUAGCUAGUUGGGCGAGACUGGACCUGCUCCGCUGCCCCCACAGUGGGCAAGACACUUUUCUUCUCUUCCACCCCUCCCCCACGACCUUCGGGUCCCUGGGAAAACCAAACUUGGGUCUCUGCUUCAGGUGCCAAGGUCAGCAGUUUUCGGAGACAGCCUUGGGCCAAGGGGACCCCCACAGUGGCCAGGCUGUGCUAACGCGGUGUAGGAAAAAUUUUCACGUUUUUUGGUGACCUCUGCGGAUUUUCGUUUUGCCCUUCCUGUCCACCCACUCCGGGCCCAAGCAGCCUUGCCUCUAGCCCACAGUCGCAAAGAGCGUUCUGACUUUUUCUUCUCUGGGGAGGAAGACAGUUGAUGGCCUGUGUGUCAUUCCUUUCUCCCUUCUGCCUUUCCCAGACCUGGUGGUCCGAAGGGCAGCCCCAGUUAAAGAAUGAUAACUCCUGUCCAGCCGUGGGCAGGCGUGGAAGCCGGUUUUUACUUGAAACCUGCCGGUCUGUUUCUUUUUCAGGAACCCCACCGGUGCAGAGCAGGGACACUGCGCCAAGAAGACAGCCCCCGAGGCUCCUGGGCAGAUCCCGUAAGUUCCAGUUGGGGAGAUUCCGGACCCUUUUCCAAAGAGAGUUGCGCUGAUCGCGUGUGUACUGUUUUCAAAGCCAAGCAAAGGAAACAGCAGCCAAUUAAAAUGAAAUAUUUUCAGUUCCCUCCUAUGUUGUCAGUGAUUUGCCCCCGGGGAUCCACAAUUUUCCCAAGCCUGUUAACGGGUGACAAUGAAUGAGUGUCUCCUGUAAUUUAAUUUUCCUGUCACACUAAAUAGAGCUACAUUGUAAACCUUAGAUCUACUCUUACUGAUAGUAUCGCCUUGUUUUGUCAUUUGCACCAUAAAGACCCCCAAAAGGGACGCGGUAUUGUGACCGCCACUCUUGAAUUAUUCAAGAACUUAAUGACAUUUUCCAUUUUAAAAAGGGAACUAAUUGCCAUUGACGCGAAGCAUGUGACCUUCUGGGGUGCCCAGUAUGAGAAUGUUACCAUCUGUACAUCCACACGGAGCCACAGAACAGCAAAAAUAGGAGAAACUGUAAACAAGAUGGACUCAAAAUGGACACUGAAAUCACCCAAAUUAUUUAAUCCCACAUAAGCCGAAACAUAAUAGUUCCAAAACUCUUUACUUGACCUAAAAUCUAUGUCAAAUGUGUCAUCAAUCAGGUCUACUUUGGGAGACCUGAGGUGACUUUUUACUUAGGAUAGAUGACACAGUUAUGAUUCUGAAAUCAAAUACCCCUCUUAAGUGUGAGAUUACUUUGUGUGGUAACAUUCGGUGGUCUGCCCUCACCCUUUGCUGGCUUUUCUUCAUUUAAUUACUUACUUAUUGGAAAGGAAAAGGAACUCAAAUUAUGAAGGCAGUUCACCUCAGUAUUUGCUGUUUGAAUCUAUCUUGAGUCUCUGCAAAACCAGGCUACCUUAAAUUAUUGAGAUGGGUGUUUGUCUCUUUUCCAAAGAGUAGAGAAGACAGCCACUGUAUUUCCUAUAGUGUUUUUGCCUUUUCCCUAGUUCCCAGGAAAGCAGAGGGCAUAAAUAGGCUUCCACCAGCAUUCUGGGACUUUAUAAAUACGAAUACUAUCUACAGAGGUCCUGAGCCAUGGCCAUUAAGUACCAUAGGAGAGGUGUGAAGAGGUGUUAAUAAGUUCAGGAGCAAAGCCCUUCCCUGUGCUGGGCUACAGAUAAUUCUUUGAAUUUUUAAGUGAUGGUUGAGAUGAGGCAUGGAGAUUUCUGCAGAGAACCAGGGUUCCAUUCAAGUGAACACCCUCUCAAGACACCCAGCUUAGCAGAAAGCUAAAUAUAUGUUCAGGGCUGUGAAUCUCCAUCCCUCUUUCUCUCUUGGAGAAUUUCUGGAAAGAGGAAUGAACUAUUUGUGAACAUCUAAGUAGAUUGCCCAUGAGUACAGUAUGUCUAUGUAUUUGACAGAACUGCUGCUGUGGCAGUGUGGGGUCAGCUGUGAAACAACUGACUCAGCCGGAGAAGUAUACUAAAUGCUUUAAAAAGAGCAUUGCUAUAAAAUUGUCACCACCUGAGCUGUGUAAUGGAGCAACUUUUUUCAUUCUUCCCUAAAAGAAACAUGUUCUCUUCUUGGUCACACAUGCUCUCGUGUUCAGUAAUAUGACAGAAGAAAUGCAUUAAGGAUAUGUAGGUUCUGGGUUGUUUGCUUUGAAGUGCUGAGGCUGGUAUAUAUCUAAGCACGUGCUAUGCUCUCCUACCCAGUCACACUACCAGCCCAGAAUACAUAGUUGUUACUUACUAAAUAAUAAAGACAUUUUAAGAAUUAAUAUAAUGUGAUGAAAGCUCCCAUUAUGGAUUAUGUGUUAAAAUAUUUUUAGAGAUGUUCUCAUGUAUUUCUAGGAUUUCCCCCUCUUGAAAAGCUUAUAGACUUUAAGACUAGAAUAAAUUAUCAAGCGUCUUGUGUCUGAGCUCUAUUGUAUUCUAAAAUGAUUAUUACCCAGGGAUUUGGUAUGCUAUCAAAAAUUAAUUUACCUUUCAAUUUUUUGGAUGCAGGGCCACUUGAAAGGCAUUUAAGUACUGUGGAAAGUUCUAGGCAUCUUCUGGAUACAGGGUUUCUCUCUUCUGGCUCCAUUUCUAGAACUCAUCCUGUCCUGAAUGAGUGUUAGUGUUGGCCUUUCCAAGAUCCAGGUGUAGGAUUUCAUUCUUAUUUAGUGUAUGGUUCUAGAGGAGUGUGUAAGAACUUCUGAUAGAGAGACCAUGCUUAACUCAGCUGCAUCUAAACUCUGCUUCCUGCCUUCCAAUAAAAACCAUUUUUUGGAAAGCAUUUCCAUUUAACUUUUAUGAAAGAGCAAAAUAAAGACUUGUGCUGCAGGACAGGCAGAAGCUUCCAGUUCUACAUCUGUGAAAUGGACCUCUUAUUUCUCCACCUAGCUCAUUCUGAAAGGAUUCCUUUGAGACUUUGCUGUUGAGGGAGCCAUUUUUUCAUCAUUCUUGCUUGUGUUUGGAAUUGCUGCAAAGUUGGGUGAGUGUCCUCUGUGUUCUAAUUUAAAACACACACACACACACACACACACACACACACACACACACGGGAAAGAAUGAAUAUGGCCAUUAUUUGGGGAUAAACAAUUUCAGUUAAACCAAGGCAGACACACUAUCAGACCAUUUCCUGGAUUCUAAAAGGGAUCCAACAACCACACCAUGCAAACAGCUGGCUGUCUUGUCUCUGUUCAUUGCUUUGAUACCAGUGAAGACUUAUGUACAUGCUUUCAGCCUGGCUACUUAGAUCCUACCUUCUGUACUUAGUCCUUUAAGUAUCAGAACUACUAAUACAGAGUUCUUAAAAUCCUAGAGCUAGGAAAGUCAACAGCAACUUUAUGCCCUGUGAUAUUUAAUUAAAUGUCUACACUUAAACAUAUUUACUGGACUUCUGAGUGUCUAUGUUUCCUCCCCAGGCAAAUAGCAUCAAGAUAGCUUAGCUGUGACAUGGUUAAAACAAUACCUUUAAAGGAAAAGUUGUUCUUCCUGUUUUGUAAAUAGCUGUUUCAUAAGCAUGGAUCGUGUUGCAACUAUGGGUCAGGAUUCUGCGUAGACAUGGAGCAUUGGUUCAGCAAAAGAUAGUUAUUAUAUUACUUAGUGGUGACAGUGUCCAGCUUGAGCAAAUUGCACUAUGGAAAUGGGAAUACCCUGUCCAUUCUAAUUCAUUUUUUUCUUCAUGGAAAUCAGAAGGAUAUGACACCCCUACAUGAUUUUCUAUGUACUAGGUGAAGCUCAUGUGUUUGCUUUUUGCUUGUUCUCUUUGGUGACAUUUUAAGUUGCUAAUUAAAGCAUUGCUAAAAAAUUUAUCUGUAUGCAUUAGGAUAGGAGGGAUCAUUUCUAUAAUGAGAACAUAGGGAGCCUCACACAUGCCAUCAGGAGAAAUCUUCCCUUUUUCCCUUUUCAUAACAGGAACACUUUUCUUUUGUCUUUUUUGGUUGCUGUUUAUUGUUUGUUUGCUUGCUUGCUUCUUCUAGACAGAUUCUCUGUAGCCCUGGCUGCCCUGGUAGCCAAGGCUGGCCUUGAACUCAGAGAUCCACCCACCUCUGUCUCCCAAGUGCUGGGAUCAAAAGUCACCCCCCCUUUUUUUUAGCUUUUACUGGGGAGUGGGGGCGCUCACUCUGUAGCCUGGUCUAGCCUCAAAUUUGAGACCCUCUUUCUUCAAUUUCUGGAGAUCUGGAAUUACAGCUGUAUGCUAUCACUCCAGGCCCUUCUUAGCUGCAUUCUUGUUUUCUCUAGAUUUGCUUAUUCAUAGCUACUGGAACAAAAAGAUGAGCCAGAGGGAAGACAUUGGCAGGUCUGUUUGCCUAAGAGAACCAUGUGACUUUGGAAGCACAGAAGCUUCUCCCCACACUGAACUUUGACCCUCACAAGAAUGUCCCCAAAGGGCCAUCAUGACACUACAGAUAGCCCUACAUACUCUACUCAGUGUUUACUGCAGCUAAACGAAGGAAUGAGGCAAAACAAGGCUGACUUAUAGAGAAGUGGCGGUGGUCCUGCCCCGGGUGGGUGCUGUGCUGUAUGCAAAUGCAGACAACUGAAGGAUUAUACACAAUGGAGCAUCAGCCAUGAGAAUUCUCAGUGGAAAGAUCUUAAAAUAAAAAGUGUUGAUUUGACCACCCCACAGAACUGAAGUUAUCCAAGUUAUUUAAUCUACCCCAAGUUACCAAAUCUUAUGGGGAAUAAACAGUGGUGUUGUGUGUGUGUGUGUGUGUGUGUGUGUGUGUGUGUGUGUGUGUGUGACUCAUUGCUAGAAAUCUUUUAUCAUAAGACCCAAGGAAUGACGUGAGAUAGGAGAUUGCUUCAAUGGCCAGGAGGUAUUUACCAACUCGAUGAAUUUUGUGGUGAAAAGUGGCUGGCUACCCAUAUCUUGGGGACCUUCCUUUGUUGGUCUGACAAUGUUGGAAGUUAAUCCAUACUUCUUAGAAAGAUGAACAGGACAAGAAUAGAAAAACUCCUGGAAGACUAUCUUGGAAGGGCAGGGCAGGCUGACCAAUAAGCUCCUGGGAGGUCAGGUAAAGCAGGAUUUACCAAAACCCAGGCCACACUCAACACCUAUUGACUAGUCAGGGACUAAGGAUGCCACACCUACAGUGAUGUUUUUCUACAUUGCAAAUGUGGAGAGACUUUUUCUGUUCCUUAUUCCCAGGUGAAGAAGGACAUACAGAGAAUGAAACCCAACCUGCUUAAAGCAAAACACACCAACCCCAGCGUGCAGCCUGCCACCUCCUCUUCCCUUAUGAAGGCCUUUGCAAGCUGGGGGGUGGGGGCUAUAUGUGCGAAUUUUCAGAGUGCUUUGUUUCUGUGGAGAGGAUUCCAGAGGCUCUUGAAGUCCUCUCAGCCUUAAAUCCACGGGGAAGUCUCCCCACCCCCCACCUCCCUGCACCCGCCUUGGGGAGGUUUGGUUGGAAGAAAACUGACCCUGAGUGCACCCUGGGCAAACUAGGGUGAAAGACCUGAUAUGGUCUGCAGGGUACUUAUUAACCACCGUUCAUUUGCAGGAUCGAUACUUCUGGCAAAGAAGUCAACACUGAAGAUAUACCACGUUGUCUGGCUCUUUCCUUGACACAACAAUUUAUUUAAUAAAUGCAUCUCCUGCAGAAGAAGGCACCAGGCACUGUGUCUUUUAUCUGCAGGAUAUGCAAAGCGCAUUUAUUCAGCUUUUAUCUCUGGAAUUGUAUGCUGAUCCCAUACAUAUAGAUUGAUUUUGUUCAGGUAGAUAAUGAAAAGUCAAGUGGAAAAUUACACAAUGGCACUCACGAUCCCGGUCUUAUAUCGGUAUAUAAAUUGGUUUAUUAUUUCAUUCUAUUAAAGGGGCUCCCCCCCUCAGGAAAACUUGAAAAUGCACUGUAUUGUCUGCCUGUCUGGAUUUUCUUGGGAGAAGGAGGUUGAAAGGAGAGGGAGGGCGAGAUGAUUUCCAUUUUUUCCAUUCUUUUGGUUAAUUGUACCGGAUAAGUAAGCAGCACCCGAGGGUGUCCUGGGGACUGUCUGCUUCCCACAGCCCACUUCAGAGUCAAGUCCAGGGCUUCUGUGAUUUAGACCAUUACGGAUGAAAAUAAAUCUGCCCCUCCCCAAGCAUCCUGCUACAGAGGUGUAUAUUUUUACCAAAGGCAAUUUAUAAUUUUGUCCUGGUGACUGAAAGUGGUAACUCCCUCUGGAGUGUGGGGAGGCCAGGGGUGAGAGGGUGACAGCAGGAGGAGGCCACCAUCCAGGGACAGCUCUGAGCUGGAAUCCUGGAGGAAACGUUAUUAAUAAACAUCUUCUGGACAUUUGGCAGCCCGUGGAGCUUGCUCCAGCUUAAAGCAAUUAAUUCAGGACACCGACAUCAACUCUCCAGGUCUUUGACAGCUUGGAGCCGAAAUAAAAAUGCUAGUUCUCCGGGGAAGAGGGGAGGAGGGCCCGCUCUUUGCUGGACUGUUUGCUUAUGGGCCCAGCGAGCAACCUUCCCUGCAGAAUGAAAUGCAAGGUCGCACACAACGAACCGGCAGAGAAUAGAAGAUGGGAACGAACAGUUUGAACUAUUUGCUCAGCAGAAGGGCACCACAAUGCUGGGGUAGUGGCUUUCCCAUGCAUCCACUGUCCCUUCUUUGGGAUCUUUUGUUGUCCCUGUCUCCUUUGGCCAGAUAAGAACACAGCUGCAGCCUUGCAGCUAAGUAAGGCUUCGCUUAUCCCCUUAAAUCUCGGGGUGUCUUUACUGUACCAGGCAUAGAUCAGCUCUUUCUUUUUUGACCAGGGGACUGGGAGGGAGGGAAUG